rnacentral:rRNA from 1 species
ACGUCAAAUCAUCAUGCCCCUUAUGACCUGGGCUACACACGUGCUACAAUGGUUGGUACAACGAGUUGCGAGUCGGUGACGGGCGAGCUAACUACUCUUAAAGCCAAUCUCAGUUCGGAUUGUAGGCUGCAACUCGCCUACAUGAAGUCGGAAUCGCUAGUAAUCGCGGAUCAGCACGCCGCGGUGAAUACGUUCCCGGGCCUU